rnacentral:rRNA from 1 species
UGACAGUACUCCUACGGGGAGGCAGCAGUGGGGGAAUAUUGCACAAUGGGCGCAAGCCUGAUGCAGCCAUGCCGCGUGUAUGAAGAAGGCCUUCGGGUUGUAAAGUACUUUCAGCAGUGAGGAAGGUUCAUACGUUAAUAGCGUAUGGAUUUGACGUUAGCUGCAGAAGAAGCACCGGCUAACUCCGUGCCAGCAGCCGCGGUAAUACGGAGGGUGCGAGCGUUAAUCGGAAUUACUGGGCGUAAAGCGCAUGCAGGUGGUUUGUUAAGUCAGAUGUGAAAGCCCGGGGCUCAACCUCGGAAUAGCAUUUGAAACUGGCAGACUAGAGUACUGUAGAGGGGGGUAGGAAUUUCAGGUGUAGCGGUGAAAUGCGUAGAGAUCUGAAGGAAUACCGGUGGCGAAGGCGGCCCCCUGGACAGAUACUGACACUCAGAUGCGAAAGCGUGGGGAGCAAACAGGAUUAGAUACCCUGGUAG